UGCGACCUUAAGUUUAUAUGAAAUAAAUUCCAAACAUAAACGCUUUAAACACGUUUAACAUGUAUAAACAAUUUUAAAAACUUUGGACUCAAGUUCAAAGAUGUGUUUUACAGAGUCCAAAAAUAUUAAUGUGUAUUUAACAUUUGCAUCACUUCCAUCCUGAUGAGACGAUCGACGAGACGGUUGGAUGAUCUCUCCAUUCGUCCGACGGCGUGCCAAUUUGAAAAAUAUUUAGAUACUUAUCAUAAUCAUCAUCAACGUUGAAUUUAUUUAAGUUUUAACAAUGGAAACUCAGCUUUCACGCGAAAAUAGGAACAACGAAGUGCUUCUGCUCUCAUUAUUAUGCAUGAAACCGAGAAAGUUAAAACACACGAAGAUUUCGGAUUCCAGACAUAUUUCUGAACCGAAAAGCACACGUAGGAUAAUUUAAUUUACUACAGGAAAAUAUAUUAAUACAUGAAGCCAUUCA